AAGGGGUCAGCAUCAAUCCCACAUUGCUUCCUGUGGCUCGCUCGCUCGCUCGCCUCCCAACUGGCCGGGAUGGAUGUGGGAUGCAGCACUGCCAUCCAGUAACAUGGCAGAUGUCUCUCGCUGUGUGAUUACUCAGUGUCAUGUAGGCGGUGAAAACAGGUGACACGUUUAUUUGCGGGGCGUUUGCGAACAAGGCUCCGGCGAUUAGUCAUCAUUUGUGCAAAUGUUCCCUCGCUUCACUUUCUCCUCUUCCCAGAGAGACCAGUUUCAGUUCGAAAGGAAAACG